UUUCUCCAGUGUUCAGCCUUACCCCCUGUUAAAGCCUGGGAACAAAUCAUUGUGAACCCACCAGUGUUAACUGGAAGAGAGCAUGAAAGCUUAUUCCGUAAGGAACUGUUUGGGAAAU
ensembl:snoRNA SNORD22 Small nucleolar RNA SNORD22